UACAGAGGGGGCAAGCGUUGUUCGGAAUUACUGGGCGUAAAGGGCGCGUAGGCGGCCCGCUAAGUCGAACGUGAAAUCCCCGGGCUCAACCCGGGAACUGCGUCCGAUACUGGUGGGCUUGAAUCCGGGAGAGGGAUGCGGAAUUCCAGGUGUAGCGGUGAAAUGCAUAGAUAUCUGGAGGAACACCGGUGGCGAAGGCGGCAUCCUGGACCGGUAUUGACGCUGAGGCGCGAAAGCCAGGGGAGCAAACGGG
rnacentral:rRNA from 1 species